rnacentral:rRNA from 1 species
UACAGAGGGGGCAAGCGUUGUUCGGAAUUACUGGGCGUAAAGGGCGCGUAGGCGGCCCGCUAAGUCGAACGUGAAAUCCCCGGGCUCAACCCGGGAACUGCGUCCGAUACUGGUGGGCUUGAAUCCGGGAGAGGGAUGCGGAAUUCCAGGUGUAGCGGUGAAAUGCGUAGAUAUCUGGAGGAACACCGGUGGCGAAGGCGGCAUCCUGGACCGGCAUUGACGCUGAGGAGCGAAAGCCAGGGGAGCAAACGGG